GUCAUUAUUCAAUUUCCAUGGUUAGGGUUAACAGCACGUGGUUUCCUGUUUCCGACAAGAAGCUGCUGCCGUCAAGACCAGCCCACAUUCACCAUUGUGGAUUAGCAGCAGCCAGUAACUCUUCGCAUUUAGUUGGAAAGCUCCCAGACUUCAGUCAGACUUGGCAGAGUCCGUCAUGUUUGUCACUUACUUCCUACUACUGAGCAGUCUUUGCCAUGUCAUUACAACUCAAGCUCAAGACUAGGGGUGCACCGAUCC